GUGGAUAAGAGCAAACUCACUGUAUAAAUAUUUAAAUCCUCGAGCGCAGGAUGAGGAGAAAUUAGGAAACAUGAACUUCAUCUUGGAGUGACCUGGCAGUUUGUGGUGCACAGCUUUGUUACAUGCAGGGGUUUGAACACUGGUGUCUCUGGACUGCUCCACAGCUGCUGCUCUUCACAGGGGACCAAGAGAUGGAGUGGAUCUAUUUAAGCCAUCUUCAUGUUGGCCUUGAAGGCUGUCACCUGGUGGCACUCAUCCAAAGCGAG